rnacentral:rRNA from 1 species
GAUGAACGCUGGCGGCGUGCCUAAUACAUGCAAGUCGAGCGAACAGAUGAGGAGCUUGCUCCCCUGACGUUAGCGGCGGACGGGUGAGUAACACGUGGAUAACCUACCUAUAAGACUGGGAUAACUUCGGGAAACCGGAGCUAAUACCGGAUAAUAUAUUGAACCGCAUGGUUCAAUAGUGAAAGACGGUUUUGCUGUCACUUAUAGAUGGAUCCGCGCCGCAUUAGCUAGUUGGUAAGGUAACGGCUUACCAAGGCAACGAUGCGUAGCCGACCUGAGGGGGUAAUCGGCCACACUGGAACUGAGACCGGGUCCAGCCCCCUACGGAGGGCCGAAGUGGGGAAUCUUCCGCAAUGGGCGAAGGCCUGACGAAGCAACGCCGCGUGAGUGAUGAAGGUCUUCGGAUCGUAAAACUCUGUAUUAGGGAAGAACAAAUGUGUAAGUAACUAUGCACGUCUUGACGGUACCUAAUCAGAAAGCCACGGCUAACUACGUG